rnacentral:rRNA from 3 species
AAAUUGAAGAGUUUGAUCAUGGCUCAGAUUGAACGCUGGCGGCAGGCCUAACACAUGCAAGUCGAACGGUAACAGGAAGCAGCUUGCUGCUUCGCUGACGAGUGGCGGACGGGUGAGUAAUGUCUGGGAAACUGCCUGAUGGAGGGGGAUAACUACUGGAAACGGUGGCUAAUACCGCAUAACGUCGCAAGACCAAAGAGGGGGACCUUCGGGCCUCUUACCAUCAGAUGUGCCCAGAUGGGAUUAGCUUGUUGGUGAGGUAACGGCUCACCAAGGCGACGAUCCCUAGCUGGUCUGAGAGGAUGACCAGCCACACUGGAACUGAGACACGGUCCAGACUCCUACGGGAGGCAGCAGUGGGGAAUAUUGCACAAUGGGCGCAAGCCUGAUGCAGCCAUGCCGCGUGUAUGAAGAAGGCCUUCGGGUUGUAAAGUACUUUCAGCGGGGAGGAAGGUGUUG